ACGGGGGGCAGCAGUGGGGAAUAUUGCACAAUGGGGGAAACCCUGAUGCAGCGACGCCGCGUGAGUGAGGAAGUAUUUCGGUAUGUAAAGCUCUGUCAGCAAGGAAGAAAAUGACGGUACUUGACUAAGAAGCCCCGGCUAACUACGUGCCAGCAGCCGCGGUAAUACGUAGGGGGCAAGCGUUAUCCGGAUUUACUGGGUGUAAAGGGAGCGUAGACGGCAUAGCAAGUCUGAAGUGAAAUGCAUGGGCUCAACCCAUGAACUGCUUUGGAAACUGUUAAGCUAGAGUGCAGGAGAGGUAAGUGGAAUUCCUAGUGUAGCGGUGAAAUGCGUAGAUAUUAGGAGGAACACCAGAGGCGAAGGCGGCUUACUGGACUGUAACUGACGUUGAGGCUCGAAAGCGUGGGGAGCAAACAGGAUUAGAUACCCUGGUA
rnacentral:rRNA from 1 species